rnacentral:rRNA from 1 species
GACGAACGCUGGCGGCGUGCUUAACACAUGCAAGUCGAGCGGAAAGGCCACUUCGGUGGUACUCGAGCGGCGAACGGGUGAGUAACACGUGAGUAAUCUGCCCCUCACUUUGGGAUAGCCACCGGAAACGGUGAUUAAUACCGGAUAUGACCAUAUGUCGCAUGGCGUGUGGUGGAAAGUUUUUCGGUGAGGGAUGUGCUCGCGGCCUAUCAGCUUGAUGGUGAGGUAAUGGCUCACCAUGGCUUCGACGGGUAGCCGGCCUGAGAGGGUGACCGGUCACACUGGGACUGAGACACGGCCCAGACUCCUACGGGAGGCAGCAGUGGGGAAUAUUGGACAAUGGGCGGAAGCCUGAUCCAGCAACGCCGCGUGAGGGAUGACGGCCUUCGGGUUGUAAACCUCUUUCAGUACCGACGAAGCGAAAGUGACGGUAGGUACAGAAGAAGCACCGGCCAACUACGUG